GCCGCCUCCUCCUCCCCUCCCCCCUUGGGCCCUUCUCGCUUUUAGGCCCCAAAUCCCCGCCCAACUCCAGGACCAGCCCAUUCAUCUCCCAACACUAGUUGGCCCCGCGCUCGCUCAAACCACCGCCGGUGCGCCCCCAAACUCCUUGUUCUGAGCCUCCCCCACCCCGCCCCAUUUCCGCAUAGUUCGUGCUCCCGGCACCCCGCGCGCGCCUCGGGUACCUCCUUGGCCCGCGGGAACCGAAGCCCGGAGACUCCGCCCGUCCUAGGCCCCGCCCUAAAGCCCCACCCUGGCACGUGCCCGCGCGGGACCGAUAGCCUCUCAGAGCUCCCAAGGUGACCCCUUGGAAGUCAGUCCCUGGCCUUACUAUCAACCCCUGGGAUCUGCCUUUGAAGGAUUGGGAGGGGGGGUUCGCGGCGUUCUGAGAAGUUCAGAAGCGAUGCAGGCCCGGAAGCGGAAGCAGAGGGUUGGAGAAGGCCGGACGUCGGGGCAGCGAGGACCACAGAGAUCGAGCCCACGCCCACCUCCUUCCCUCCCGGCGGGCACUCUUGGGAGUGGGACUAGACGCUCGGUCUGGGUCGGGAGGGCUCGGAGCCUGAAUCUGAGCAAGGGCUGUCCCAGUACCCGCCAGUUAGGUUCCAGGAAUGGGAUUGAGGUUGCCGUGGUGGCGUUGGAGUGGUCACCAGGCCUUCAUCCAGUCGCUGUCAAUCCUGCUCAGCUGUCUGGGACUCUUGUGGACACCCAGCAUCCGCCAGCAUCCUGCUUACUGAAUACAAGUUGUGGAUGAAAAUGAUCCCUCUCAAAGGCAGCAAGUCCUCCAACAAUCAACCAGCUUUUCCUAAGCAUCUACUAUGUGAGAGAUUAAUAAAGAUGAAUAAUUAAGUAGGGAAAGCCCUCUCAUGUUCAUAGUUCUCCAUUCUCAUGAAAAUAACGUAACUUUUGGAGUUCCCUUGUGGUGCAGUGGGUUAAGUAUCUGGCGUUGUCACUGCAGCAGCCUGUGUCGCUGCUGUGUUGUGGGUUCCAUCCCUGGCCUGGGAACUUGCAGUUCACUAAGGGUAAAGCACUAUCACUCCUAUCCAGCAGAUGAGGAAAUUUAGUUUCAGUGGGUUAAGUAACUUUCCCAAAAUCACACAGCUCUAAGGAUGGAAUUGAUAAGACUUAGCUUUUUUUUUUUUUUUUUUUUUAGUAGACUAUUUAUUUAUUUAUUUUUUUAGGACCACACCUGUGGCAUAUGGAAUUUCCCAGGCUAGGGGUGGAAUCUAAGCUGCAGCUGCCAGCCUAUUGCCACAGCAACACCAGAUGCGAGCCACAUCUAUGACCUACGCUGCAGCUUUCAGCAAUGCAGGAUCCUUAACCCACUGAGUGAGGCCAGGGAUCAAAUCUUCAUCCUCAUGGGUACUGGUCGGGUUCUUAACCUGCUGAGACACAACUGGAACUCCUUGAUAGACUUUUUUUAAAGAAGUUUUUUUUUGUUUGUUUGUUUUUUGUCUUUUCUAGGGCCGUACCAGUGGCAUUAAAGAGCAUUUUUUUUUUUAAGUUCACAGCAAAAUUGAGCAAAGAUGCAGCAUUUCCAUAUGCCUCCUGGUCCAGCAUACAGCUUGUCAACAUCACACACCAGAGUGGUGCAUUUGUUUGGAUAUAUCAUUAGCACCCAAAGUCCAAACUUUAUAUUUGAUCUUUUUUUGGGGGGGGGGCGUGUCUUUUUGCCUUUUCUUGAACCACUCCCUCGGCAUAUGGAGAUUCCCAGGCUAGGGGUCUAAUCAGACCUGUAGCCACUGGCCUGCACCACAGCCACAGCAAUGUCAGAUCCAAGUCGCGUCUGUGACCCACACCACAGCUCCAGAUCCUUUACUCACUGAGCAAGGCCAGGGAUCGAACCUGCAAUCUCAUGGUUCUUAGUCAGAUUUGUUAACCACUGCGCCACGACGGGAACUCCCAACUUUUACGUUUGAUAAGCCUUGGCUUUUAACCACUAGGCCACUCUCCUGAAGGGAGAUUCAACUGGGACUUUGAAGGAUGUGUAGAAUUUUCAAAGCAGGGGAGGUGGGAAGGACAUUUCAGGCAGGAGAGUUGUAGAGAGCAAGAUGUGGAAGGAUUUUCAGGGUACUUGGCCAGUUUGACUUGAGCAAGAGUCCCCAAAUUUUAGUCAAUUAAAUAUCAACCUCACGACAUUUUUCCUAAGAAAUAAUAGCCAUGAAUCAUGGGUUUAAUAUGCAAGUUUUAUUUUUUGAAUACCAGUUGAAAUAAAUAUAUCAACCUUUGAAAAAUAUUUGGUCAAUGCCACUAAAAUGAUCCCUAGAGCCCCCAGUGCUAGCCAUGUUUCAUUCUGGAAAUUGCUACCAUAGAGAAUUAUUGGAGGUACCCUGGGGAGGUAGGAAGAGACUAUUGUUUGUUAAGCAAGAGUCACCUAUGUCCCUAGAAAGUGGAUUGCUGCUGUUCGUAAUUCUCUGAGCCCCAGACCUACCAGCAUUUUUUUUUUUUUUUUUUUUUGCCAUGCCCAAAGCAUGCCUGGGCCAGGGAUCGAAUCCGAGCCAUAGCAGUGAUGCCCAUCUUUAACCUGCUUCCACCAGGGAAUUCCAUGAAGAGCAUUUUACUUAGAAGAAACAGUAUGUGCAAAGUUCCUCAGGCUGGAAGGAACAAUGUGUGUGGACACCUGAAAGAAGCAUGAAAGGAAGAGUCAUGGAGAGGAGUUUGCAGGGACCAGACCCUUCAUGUAGUUCCUGGAGGCCUCACAAGCCCUGUGAUCUUAAUGGUGUGCCUUAUGUGGAGCCAUUUAUUUAUUUAUUGUCUUUUUGCCUUUUCUAGGGCCAUUCCCUUGGCAUAUGGAGAUUCCCAGGGUAGGGGUCUCCUGAGGAGCCAUUUAGAGUUUCAAGUAGAGUGACUUCCAUUCAAUUACUCAGAUAACAAAUACUUUUUGAACACUUCAUGGAGAGCACUGGGGAUUUUAUAGAACAAGACUCUUAUGGUCCCUACCAUCAGGAAGCUUAUAUUCCUUUAUUUAUUUAUUUAUUUAUUUUUUGGUCUUUUUGCUAUUUCUUGGGCCGCUCCUGCAGCAUAUGGAGGUUCCCAGG
rnacentral:lncRNA from 9 species